rnacentral:rRNA from 1 species
UACGUAGGGGCCAAGCGUUGUCCGGAUUUAUUGGGCGUAAAGAGCUCGUAGGCGGUUCGGCAAGUCAGCUGUGAAAUCUCCACGCUCAACGUGGAGGGGUCAGCUGAUACUGCUGUGACUCGAGUCCGGUAGGGGAGUGUGGAAUUCCCGGUGUAGCGGUGAAAUGCGUAGAGGUCGGCAGGAACACCCAGGGGGAAACCAGUGGACUGGGCAGGAGCUGACGCUCAGGUGCGAAAGCGUGGGGAGCGAACCGG